GUGGGGAAUAUUGCACAAUGGGCGAAAGCCUGAUGCAGCGACGCCGCGUGAGUGAUGAAGUAUCUCGGUAUGUAAAGCUCUAUCAGCAGGGAAGAUAAUGACGGUACCUGACUAAGAAGCACCGGCUAAAUACGUGCCAGCAGCCGCGGUAAUACGUAUGGUGCAAGCGUUAUCCGGAUUUACUGGGUGUAAAGGGUGCGUAGGUGGAACGGCAAGUCAGAUGUGAAAACCCGGGGCUCAACCCCGUGACUGCAUUUGAAACUGUCGAUCUAGAGUGCAGGAGAGGAAAGCGGAAUUCCUAGUGUAGCGGUGAAAUGCGUAGAUAUUAGGAGGAACACCAGUGGCGAAGGCGGCUUUCUGGACUGUUACUGACACUGAGGCACGAAAGCGUGGGGAGCAAACAGG
rnacentral:rRNA from 1 species